AGAGUUUGAUCCUGGCUCAGGAUGAACGCUGGCGGCGUGCUUAACACAUGCAAGUCGAACGAUGAAGCCCAGCUUGCUGGGUGGAUUAGUGGCGAACGGGUGAGUAACACGUGAGUAACCCGCCCUUAACUCUGGGAUAAGCCUGGGAAACUGGGUCUAAUACCGGAUAGGAGCGUCCACCGCAUGGUGGGUGUUGGAAAGAUUUAUCGGUUUUGGAUGGACUCGCGGCCUAUCAGCUUGUUGGUGAGGUAAUGGCUCACCAAGGCGACGACGGGUAGCCGGCCUGAGAGGGUGACCGGCCACACUGGGACUGAGACACGGCCCAGACUCCUACGGGAGGCAGCAGUGGGGAAUAUUGCACAAUGGGCGAAAGCCUGAUGCAGCGACGCCGCGUGAGGGAUGACGGCCUUCGGGUUGUAAACCUCUUUCAGUAGGGAAGAAGCGAAAGUGACGGUACCUACAGAAGAAGCACCGGCUAACUACGUGCCAGCAGCCGCGGUAAUACGUAGGGUGCGAGCGUUAUCCGGAAUUAUUGGGCGUAAAGAGCUCGUAGGCGGUUUGUCGCGUCUGUCGUGAAAGUCCGGGGCUUAACCCCGGAUCUGCGGUGGGUACGGGCAGACUAGAGUGCAGUAGGGGAGACUGGAAUUCCUGGUGUAGCGGUGGAAUGCGCAGAUAUCAGGAGGAACACCGAUGGCGGAGGCAGGUCUCUGGGCUGUAACUGACGCUGAGGAGCGAAAGCAUGGGGAGCGAACAGGAUUAGAUACCCUGGUAGUCCAUGCCGUAAACGUUGGGCACUAGGUGUGGGGACCAUUCCACGGUUUCCGCGCCGCAGCUAACGCAUUAAGUGCCCCGCCUGGGGGGUACGGCCGCAAGGCUAAAACUCAAAGGAAUUGACGGGGGCCCGCACAAGCGGCGGAGCAUGCGGAUUAAUUCGAUGCAACGCGAAGAACCUUACCAAGGCUUGACAUGUUCUCGAUCGCCGUAGAGAUACGGUUUCCCCUUUGGGGUGGGUUCACAGGUGGUGCAUGGUUGUCGUCAGCUCGUGUCGUGAGAUGUUGGGUUAAGUCCCGCAACGAGCGCAACCCUCGUUCCAUGUUGCCAGC
rnacentral:rRNA from 1 species